rnacentral:rRNA from 1 species
CCUACGGGAGGCAGCAGUAGGGAAUAUUGCUCAAUGGGGGAAACCCUGAAGCAGCAACGCCGCGUGGAGGAUGAAGGUUUUCGGAUUGUAAACUCCUUUUGUUAGAGAAGAUAAUGACGGUAUCUAACGAAUAAGCACCGGCUAACUCCGUGCCAGCAGCCGCGGUAAUACGGAGGGUGCAAGCGUUACUCGGAAUCACUGGGCGUAAAGCGCGCGUAGGCGGGAUAGCAAGUCAGAUGUGAACUGCUAUGGCUUAACCAUAGAACUGCAUUUGAAACUGUUAUGCUAGAGUAUGGGAGAGGUAGGUGGAAUUCGUGGUGUAGGGGUAAAAUCCGUAGAGAUCAAGAGGAAUACUGAUUGCGAAGGCGACCUGCUAGAACAUAACUGACGCUGAUGCGCGAAAGCGUGGGGAGCAAACAGGAUUAGAUACCCCUGUAGUC